UACGGGGGGGGCAAGCGUUGUUCGGAAUUACUGGGCGUAAAGGGCUCGUAGGCGGCCAACUAAGUCGGACGUGAAAUCCCCAGGCUCGACCUGGGAACUGCGUCCGAUACUGGAUGGCUUGAAUCCGGGAGAGGGAUGCAGAAUUCCAGGUGUAGCGGUGAAAUGCGUAGAUAUCUGGAGGAACACCGGUGGCGAAGGCGGCAUCCUGGACCGACACUGACACUGAGGAGCGAAAGCCAGGGGAGCAAACGGG
rnacentral:rRNA from 1 species